rnacentral:ncRNA from 1 species
ACCGCGAGGGAAAGAUGAAAAGGACUUUGAAAAGAGAGUGAAAUAGUGCUUGAAAUUGUCGGGAGGGAAGCGGUUGGGGGCCGGCGAUGCGGCCCGGUCGGAUGUGGAACGGCCAAAAGCCGG